AACCCAGGCUAAUACCGCAUACGUCCUACGGGAGAAAGGGGGCUCCGGCUCCCGCUAUCGGAUGAGCCUAUGUCGGAUUAGCUGGUUGGUGAGGUAACGGCUCACCAAGGCCACGAUCCGUAGCUGGUCUGAGAGGAUGAUCAGCCACAUCGGGACUGAGACACGGCCCGAACUCCUACGGGAGGCAGCAGUGGGGAAUAUUGGACAAUGGGGGAAACCCUGAUCCAGCCAUGCCGCGUGUGUGAAGAAGGCCCUCGGGUUGUAAAGCACUUUCAGCGAGGAAGAACGCCUAACGGUUAAUACUCGCUAGGAAAGACAUCACUCGCAGAAGAAGCACCGGCUAACUCCGUGCCAGCAGCCGCGGUAAUACGGAGGGUGCAAGCGUUAAUCGGAAUUACUGGGCGUAAAGCGCGCGUAGGUGGAUUGAUAAGCCGGUUGUGAAAGCCCCGGGCUCAACCUGGGAACGGCAUCCGGAACUGUCAAGCUAGAGUGCAGGAGAGGAAGGUAGAAUUCCCGGUGUAGCGGUGAAAUGCGUAGAGAUCGGGAGGAAUACCAGUGGCGAAGGCGGCCUUCUGGACUGACACUGACACUGAGGUGCGAAAGCGUGGGUAGCAAACAGGAUUAGAUACCCUGGUAGUCCACGCCGUAAACGAUGUCGACCAGCCGUUGGGUGCCUAGCGCACUUUGUGGCGAAGUUAACGCGAUAAGUCGACCGCCUGGGGAGUACGGCCGCAAGGUUAAAACUCAAAUGAAUUGACGGGGGCCCGCACAAGCGGUGGAGCAUGUGGUUUAAUUCGAUGCAACGCGAAGAACCUUACCUACUCUUGACAUCCUGCGAAUUUGGUAGAGAUACCUUAGUGCCUUCGGGAACGCAGAGACAGGUGCUGCAUGGCUGUCGUCAGCUCGUGUUGUGAAAUGUUGGGUUAAGUCCCGUAACGAGCGCAACCCUUGUCCUUAUUUGCCAGCGCGUAAUGGCGGGAACUCUAAGGAGACUGCCGGUGACAAACCGGAGGAAGGUGGGGACGACGUCAAGUCAUCAUGGCCCUUACGAGUAGGGCUACACACGUGCUACAAUGGUCGGUACAAAGGGUUGCCAACUCGCGAGAGUGAGCCAAUCCCGAAAAGCCGAUCUCAGUCCGGAUCGGAGUCUGCAACUCGACUCCGUGAAGUCGGAAUCGCUAGUAAUCGUGGAUCAGAAUGCCACGGUGAAUACGUUCCCGG
rnacentral:rRNA from 1 species